GACGUAGGGGGCAAGCGUUGUCCGGAAUCACUGGGCGUAAAGCGCGUGUAGGCGGUUUGGUCAGUCCCGUGUGAAAGCCUCCGGCUCAACUGGAGGAUGCCGCGGGAUACUGCCGGACUCGAGGACAGGAGAGGGAAGUGGAAUUCCCGGUGUAGCGGUGAAAUGCGUAGAUAUCGGGAGGAACGCCAGUGGCGAAGGCGGCUUCCUGGCCUGUUCCUGACGCUGAGACGCGAAAGCUGGGGGAGCGAACGGGAUUAGAUCCCCCGGUAGUCCCAGCCGUAAACGAUGGUCACUAGGUGUUGGGGGGUACCCCCUCAGUGCCGAAGCUAACGCAUUAAGUGACCCGCCUGGGGAGUACGGCCGCAAGGUUGAA
rnacentral:rRNA from 1 species